rnacentral:rRNA from 1 species
UGCAGUCGCACGAGUAGCAAUACUAGUGGCGGACUGGUGAGUAACACGUGGGAAUCUACCUUAAAGUUGGGGAUAACUAUUGGAAACGAUAGCUAAUACCGAAUGUGCCUGAGAAGGUAAAGAAGCAAUUUGCUUUAAGAUGAGCCCGCGGCAGAUUAGUUAGUUGGUGGGGUAAGAGCCUACCAAGACGAAGAUCUGUAGCUGUUUUGAGAGGAAGAUCAGCCACACUGGGACUGAGACACGGCCCAGACUCCUACGGGAGGCAGCAGUGGGGAAUUUUGGACAAUGGAGGAAACUCUGAUCCAGCAAUGCCGCGUGAGUGAAGAAGGCCUUCGGGUUGUAAAGCUCUUUUAACAAUGAAGAUGAUGACUGUAAUUGUAGAAUAAGGUCCGGCAAACUUCGUGCCAGCAGCCGCGGUAAUACGAAGGGAUCUAGCGUUGUUCGGAAUCACUGGGCGUAAAGCGCAAGUAGGUGGUUUGGUAAGUUAGAUGUGAAAUCCUUGGUUUCAAGCCAAGAACUGCAUUUAAUACUGCUAAACUUGAGUACAAUAGGGGAUACUAGAAUUCCAAGUGUAGGGGUAAAAUCCGUAGAUAUUUGGAGGAAUACCAGAAGCGAAGGCGUGUAUCUGGAUUGU